rnacentral:lncRNA from 10 species
GCACUCACUGUCUUACGGUCCCGAAGCGCUUUAAGGUGCGCAGUCCGCAGGCCUUGCCUACUGAUCUUCCAGCCACCCCUUGAAGGAAGCAGUUGCAGACGCUGAGCACAGUGCCAAACCUAUAUAGAAACUCAUUUGGGAUAUGGAGGAGAAUAUGCCACCAGUUCUCCAAAGUGGAGGGGUGAAGCCAUGCCUCCCUUUCCCUCACCUGUGUAAACUGGGUAUGAAGACAGAGGACACCAGGAAAGAAGCCAGAGAAAGAGGAACAGUGAUGAAGAACAAUGGCCAUUAACAGGCAUGGAACUGGAGCAGAAAUGGAAUGAACCCUAGGGGCCUGGGAGCCUGGAGGGGUGUAGGAGUGGGGAGGGGAUUGGGGAGACAGGCGGCAGAGGAAAGCGCCUGCCCUCGCCUCCUCCCAUCACCCCCUAUACCCCUGUCCCUAAUGAGGUGCUUCUGGCGGCACCUGACUUUUCCAUUGCAAACACCACUUGACUCUCGGCCCUUCACACUCUCAUGAGGUUCUAAGGGGCUGCACAGGCGCCGCCCACCCCAGCCAUGCCCUGGGACUCACCACACACCAGGAAGGCCGGGAGCUGCAGCAAGGGGACAGCUUAAAACAGCCCCACCAACACCCCAAAGUGGGUCUCCCAGUUCCCCGAGAAGGCCUGGAUGCCCUGCUGAAGGGUGAGCAGGGCCAUGUGGGUGACUUGGAGGACCCAAUUCCCCGGCCAUGGGAACCCCCAGCCUGGGCUUUCUUUGGGGGUAGCUGAGACAACGAGCCCCCACCCAGAGCAGGAGAUGACGCAUUUUUUCUGUGGCCACAAGCCACUUUGACGGGUCCGCCCCACUGGGGAGCAACCGAAACC